rnacentral:rRNA from 1 species
UACGUAGGGUGCGAGCGUUAAUCGGAAUUACUGGGCGUAAAGCGUGCGCAGGCGGUUUUGUAAGCCAGGUGUGAAAUCCCCGGGCUCAACCUGGGAAUGGCAUUUGGGACUGCAAGGCUGGAGUGCGGCAGAGGAGACUGGAAUUCCUGGUGUAGCAGUGAAAUGCGCAGAUAUCAGGAGGAACACCUAUUGCGAAGGCAGCUCGCUGGGACGUAACUGACGCUGAGACGCGAAAGCGUGGGGAGCAAACAGG